rnacentral:lncRNA from 1 species
UAAACUUGGAGUUACACCUUUUCUAUUUAGAAAAGGGAUCUAAAACAUGUUCAAGUAUGCAGCAUCUUCAUAAACCUCAGCCACUGGGAAAGGGCAACUUCAUGCAACCAAAUAAUAUGAAAAUCAAAACGCAACCCUUAGAAAAAAGGGUAAAAUGUCAUUUCUGCAAACACAACAGAUAGGAAUGUGAAUAAUGUGCAUACAAACUGGGAUGCUGUUGAUGAUACUAAUGAACAGAUGUGAUGACUCAUAUCAAAUCCAAGAAUAUUAGACAACCAAACAUGUAACCUUCUUGUGUUUUCCCUUAAUAUUCAGCAGUCAUUAUGUUGGUUAAGUCCCUUCACUGGUUUUCUGCAAGUCUGAAGAAGUGUUUCUUGUGUCAUUGCCUGCGUCCCCAGCAUCAGAGCUGCUCUUAUUUUCUUCCUCUUUGCAGUCCUUAUCAUCUUCAUCUCCAGGAGAUUUCCGUGACUGCUUGGAGGAUUUCUUUGAAGUGUAGGAUUUUUUUCGUUUUGAGCCUGCUUUUUCGUUCUUUCUUUUGCCUUUUCCAUCCUCUUCUACCCGAUCACCUUCCUCCUCGCUGCUGGCAUCUGCUGUAUUUCCUCCUUCUCCCUCAGUUUCUGAUGAGCUCUGUUGCUGAAUUGCCUGAUAUCCAGUAAACUUUACUCCAGGGUUGUUUUCUAUUUCCCACAGGCCUUCAUUAAAUCCUUUUCGUUUGUUCGACUUCCCAAACUUAUCUUUGUAUUCUUUAUACGGGAAAAGGUCUUUGGGCCCCAGGAACGCACCACUGGCUUUGGGUUACUGCUGCGAGUCUGAUU